rnacentral:rRNA from 1 species
AGCGAACGCUGGCAGCAGGCCUAACACAUGCAAGUCGAACGGACCCUUCGGGGUUAGUGGCGGACGGGUGAGUAACACGUGGGAACGUGCCUUUAGGUUCGGAAUAGCUCCUGGAAACGGGUGGUAAUGCCGAAUGUGCCCUUCGGGGGAAAGAUUUAUCGCCUUUAGAGCGGCCCGCGUCUGAUUAGCUAGUUGGUGAGGUAAUGGCUCACCAAGGCGACGAUCAGUAGCUGGUCUGAGAGGAUGACCAGCCACAUUGGGACUGAGACACGGCCCAAACUCCUACGGGAGGCAGCAGUGGGGAAUCUUGCGCAAUGGGCGAAAGCCUGACGCAGCCAUGCCGCGUGGAUGAGGAAGGUCUUAGGAUUGUAAAAUCCUUUCACCGGUGAAGAUAAUGACUGUAGCCGGAGAAGAAGCCCCGGCUAACUUCGUGCCAGCCGCCGCCGUAAAAC